rnacentral:pre_miRNA from 1 species
UUUUAUGGAUGAACAAAAUAAGUGGUUUCUUGAGAUGAAAUCUACUCCUGGUAAAGAUGCUGUGAA